CAUACUGCUGCUUGAAGGAGGCAAACCAAAACUCUACAUUGCAAGAUUUUUCUAGUUUCAUGUUUAUGAUGUUAAGUCAUGUGAUAAUAUUGUACCAUAAGUUGCCAACUUCAUUUCACUCUAGAGAGGCUCCUUUGCUGCAGUGCUUUUUUGCUUUUUUUUUCUUGAAAGAGAAAAAAUUUGUGCAAUUGCUGCUGCAGCACGGAGCUGAUCCAAACAUUCGGAACACUGAUGGGAAAUCAGCCCUGGACCUGGCAGAUCCUUCAGCAAAAGCUGUCCUUACAGGUGAAUACAAGAAAGACGAACUCCUAGAAGCUGCUAGGAGUGGUAAUGAAGAAAAACUAAUGGCUUUACUGACUCCUCUAAAUGUGAAUUGCCAUGCAAGUGAUGGGCGAAAGUCGACUCCUUUACAUCUAGCAGCGGGCUACAACAGAGUUCGAAUAGUUCAGCUUCUUCUUCAGCAUGGUGCUGAUGUUCAUGCAAAAGAUAAAGGUGGACUUGUGCCUCUUCAUAAUGCAUGUUCAUAUGGACAUUAUGAAGUCACAGAACUGCUACUAAAGCAUGGAGCUUGUGUUAAUGCCAUGGAUCUCUGGCAGUUUACUCCACUGCACGAGGCUGCUUCCAAGAACCGUGUAGAAGUCUGCUCUUUGUUACUUAGCCAUGGCGCUGAUCCUACAUUAGUCAACUGCCAUGGCAAAAGUGCUGUGGAUAUGGCUCCAACUCCGGAGCUUAGGGAGAGAUUGACUUGUACGUAUUUA
rnacentral:sRNA from 1 species